rnacentral:misc_RNA from 1 species
CUGGGAUCUGAAGAAACUAAAGCACGUUCACAUAACUUGAUAGCUCUGUGAAGCUCUUUCAGAUGGCCAUAUUUAGGUUCCCUAAUCAAACCUAGACCAGUGAAAUGGUCGUUGCAAUUAAAUUUCAAAUCUAUACUCACACAAGAUAUCACAUCUUUCAUAAUGCGUUUGGAUUUGGAAAGUAAUAUUCAUGUUGGCACAAAUCUUUUAUUAAAAAGAACAUUUUGUGCAAUUCUGGAACUUGACCAAACAUUAUAAAAAUAUGAAUAAAUUCUUGAUGAGUUAAUUCUUGAACAUUUAACAUUUUCACCACAGUGGAAAUGAGCCAAGUGUUCUUACCAUAUUCAUCUAUUGGGGCAU